rnacentral:rRNA from 1 species
CUUCCGUAGGGGGAACCUGCGGAGGGAUCAUUACUGAGUUUACGCUCUAUAACCCUUUGUGAACAUACCUAUAACUGUUGCUUCGGCGGGUAGGGUCUCCGCGACCCUCCCGGCCUCCCGCCUCCGGGCGGGUCGGCGCCCGCCGGAGGAUAACCAAACUCUGAUUUAACGACGUUUCUUCUGAGUGGUACAAGCAAAUAAUCAAAACUUUUAACAACGGAUCUCUUGGUUCUGGCAUCGAUGAAGAACGCAGCGAAAUGCGAUAAGUAAUGUGAAUUGCAGAAUUCAGUGAAUCAUCGAAUCUUUGAACGCACAUUGCGCCCGCCAGCAUUCUGGCGGGCAUGCCUGUUCGAGCGUCAUUUCAACCCUCAAGCUCUGCUUGGUGUUGGGGCCCUACAGCUGAUGUAGGCCCUCAAAGGUAGUGGCGGACCCUCCCGGAGCCUCCUUUGCGUAGUAACUUUACGUCUCGCACUGGGAUCCGGAGGGACUCUUGCCGUAAAACCCCCCAAUUUUCCAAAGGUUGACCUCGGAUCAGGUAGGAUACCC